rnacentral:piRNA from 1 species
ACCUCCAGAGACUCAGAAGCCAUAAUAAA